rnacentral:misc_RNA from 1 species
GCAACGUUAAUGACAUCUUCAGGGCGCCUCCUAUGCAGCGACGAGUGAUCAACGAAAAAAACCCCUACAUGUGAUUCAUCACCGCCACGCGACGUCAAAUAAAGGGAGGGUGACUUCCAAUGUCUCCUUCUUUAGGGAGGUACAAUUUGGGGCAGCCUUUUAACGAUUUCAGCUUGCUUUUCCUGUGAUAAUCUUCUGCAAACUCGUCCUUUCCCUCGUGGCUAAGAGCCACGUAGCACUCAAGGACGAGCUGAUGAAUCCCAGCCAUCCGUCCCCCUUCCUAUUUUGGGAAUGAUUUUUAAUUUUGCAGAAAAGGGUGUUUAGCAA